rnacentral:rRNA from 1 species
GUGGCCAUAGCACGUUGAAAACACCGGUUCUGGUCUAGUUAUCGAAGUUGAGCCGCGUCGGGCUCGGUUAGUACUUACAUGAGUGAGCGGCUGGGAAUACCGGAUUUUGCGCCCGUU